UACGAAGGGGGCUAGCGUUGCUCGGAAUCACUGGGCGUAAAGGGUGCGUAGGCGGGUCUUUAAGUCGGGGGGGAAAUCCUGGAGCUCAACUCCAGAACUGCCUUCGAUACUGGAGAGCUCGAGUCCGGGAGAGGUGAGUGGAACUGCGAGUGUAGAGGUGAAAUUCGUAGAUAUUCGCAAGAACACCAGUGGCGAAGGCGGCCCACUGGCCCGGUACUGACGCUGAGGUGCGAAAGCGUGGGGAGCAAACAGG
rnacentral:rRNA from 1 species